CUAAUAGGACAGCAGUGCGCAGGCGCUAGAUCAGCACACGUUGGGCACAUGACCCUGGUCCCGCACCGGCCACGUACGGCGCCUAGAGAAGCUCUAGACUUUGCCUUGGAGUCUCCAGUUCCCAGCUUUGACCAGCCGAAACCGGUCUUGUCCCUGGGCGGAGUUUGCUGAGUGCGAAAGCUGUGACUGCCUUUCUCGGAGCCGGGACCUGGCGGCCCUUGUGGAUUAUGCGCCAAGCAAUCCAACUGGCUGGACCGUGCUUGUUAUCUGAACAGAAAAACAGAGUUGUUCCCAGCAGCGCCCCAAACCAGCAAACUUCGUCUAGGAAUUUUUUUUUUUUUUUCAAUUCUUACUAAACAACUACAUAGGCAGCUCCUCUGGGAUUGUCUACAAGUGUCAUAUCCAAAGAAUCAUUGCCAAGACCAAAGUCAAGGAGCUUAACAGAUUUUGUGGAGGUCCUGCAACUAGAUGCUACUGGUAGCAAGCCAUGGUUCCCACUCUUAAAAGAACUCAUGCUUUUCUGCAGAAGAUGGAUA